rnacentral:lncRNA from 1 species
CGGGGGCAUGUCUGGGCUGCAAGAUAGGCAUCGGUAUCCACAGAAUUGGCCCGCAAACACCCCAGCCCCCUCCGCCCCGUCCCGGAUGUCGGAAAAUUUCCCGGGACACGGUGGGCCCACCGGGGCCCAUUUUCGGAAAAAUUCAAAAAAUGGAGCAUGGGCAUCGCCCUUGCUUUAGGCAUACAUGGGGCUUUAUUUUCUUAUUGUAGGUGAGGCAUCGAGGUGUUGUGUAGCCUAUAAUAGCCCCAGUCGGAACUGACGCGGGCCCGAAUAUGAAUUGACGGAAUUUUAUGCGGCUGUGAUGGCCGUAGAGGGCGAGGCCGAGACAUGGAUGGAAGAUCCAACCAAAGCUGUUGGGGCCCAACCCCAUGCAAGAGCGUGCUAAUAGGUUGUCAACGCACGGUGUGGGCGAUGCAUUGU